CUGGAGCAAAAGAAAGAUUAUAACUCAGAUGAGAUAGUCAGGCUUGAGGCCAAUAAUGAAGCCAUAGGUGCCAAAAUUAUCAACUUCGCAGACGAAGCUAAGAUGUUACACAAGGAUGCCAAUGCUCAACAUUAUAAGGUAAUAAACCUUGAAGCUAUGGCAGCUGUAUAUGAGGGAAAUGUUGAGAAUGCCAUGGAUAGGUUGGUUCUCAUGGAGCUCAAAUGGAAGCAGCGGGUCGAGUCACUAGACUAUUGAGUACUGUCCAGUGUCCGUGAAGCACAAUGUAUACUUGUGCCUUUUUUUUUUUCCAAGGCAGAGACAGUGAAAGGGUUGUCAUCUUGAAUCCGAGCUUCUUAUAUCUUAGCAAUCAAUUGUUUAACGUUGUAAUAAACCUUGAAGCUAUGGCAGCUGUAUAUGAGGGAAAUGUUGAGAAUGCCAUGGAUAGGUUGGUUCUCAUGGAGCUCAAAUGGAAGCAGCGGGUCGAGUCACUAGACUAUUGAGUACUGUCCAGUGUCCGUGAAGCAC
rnacentral:lncRNA from 1 species